rnacentral:rRNA from 1 species
UACGGGGGGGGCAAGCGUUGUUCGGAAUUACUGGGCGUAAAGGGUUCGUAGGUGGCCAACUAAGCCAGACGUGAAAUCCCUCAGCUUAACUGGGGAACUGCGUCUGGGACUGGAUGGCUUGAGUGCAGGAGAGGAACGCGGAAUUCCAGGUGUAGCGGUGAAAUGCGUAGAUAUCUGGAGGAACACCGGUGGCGAAGGCGGCGCUCUGGGCUGGAACUGACGCUGAGGAGCGAAAGCGUGGGGGAGCGAACAGG